rnacentral:rRNA from 1 species
UACGGAGGGGCUGAGCGUUGUCGGAAUUACUGGGCGUAAAGGCGCGUGAUGCGGGUUUGUCGCGUUGUUCGUGAAAACCGGGGGCUUAACCCUCGGCGUGCGGGCGAUACGGGCAGACUGGAGUACUGCAGGGGAGACUGGAAUUCCUGGUGUAGCGGUGGAAUGCGCAGAUAUCAGGAGGAACACCGGUGGCGAAGGCGGGUCUCUGGGCAGUAGCUGACACUGAGGCGCGACAGCGUGGGGAGCAAACAGG